rnacentral:misc_RNA from 1 species
GAAAUGCGAUAAGUAGUGUGAAUUGCAGAAUUCAGUGAAUCAUCGAAUCUUUGAACGCACAUUGCGCCCUUUGGCAUUCCGGGGGGCAUGCCUGUCCGAGCGUCAUUACGCACCCUCAAGCCCGGCUUGUGGGAUGGGCCCUGGCGUCUCGUUCGCGAGACGGGCCCGAAAGGCAGCGGCGGCGUCGACCCGAUGAGCCCGAGCGUAUGGGGACUUUUGUCACACGUUUGCGGUGCGGACCGGCGCCUGCUUGACUUUUCUGAUUAUCCAGGUUGACCUCGGAUCAGGUAGGGAUACCCGCUGAACUUAAGC